rnacentral:rRNA from 1 species
AUGCAACUGAUGUCAUGGUUCUACGGAAGCGCUAAAGACGUACCCUACACGACACAAGACAUUGCUAAUCAACAAGCUAAGUCCCGCUUAGAGCACCGCCACACGGAUGUUGGCAACACAAUUGCGUACUUACAAGAGAUGAGGGCCAAAGAUUCACAUUUCUACUAGAGAAUCAAGCUUGAUGAUGAGGACAGGGUUGAGAACUUGUUAUGGAUUGAUGGCGCAUCACGCAGGGCAUAUGCAAAGUAUAAUGAUUGUUUGUCAUUCGACACGACAUACAUGACAAACAUGUACAAGAUGUCGUGUGCACCAUUCAUUGGAAUUAAUAACCAUGGUCAAUCCAUCCAGUUUGGGUGUGGCUUCAUUCGAAACAAACUAAAGGAGAACUUUGUGUGGCUGUUUAACACAUUCCUCCAUGCAAUGGGUGGUGUUGCCCCAGAAAACAUCAUCACAAGCCAGAACUUUGCAAUGAGGAGUGCGAUCGACGAGGUCUUCUUGAACAUAAUACAUAGAAAUUGCCGCUGGCAUAUAAUGAAGAAGGCGCAGGAGAAACUUGGAAAGCCUAUGGACAAUGAUAAACCACUAAACAAAGCGUUCAAAGACUGUCGACAACAGCUUGACUGGUACUUACCUACUCUGUUGACCCAUUUUAAUUACCAUGCAGCAAACUUGAGAACCAUAUGA